rnacentral:rRNA from 1 species
UGCAAGUCGAACGGAGUUAUGUUGACAGAAGCCUUCGGGUGGAAGAUGAGAUAACUUAGUGGCGGACGGGUGAGUAACACGUGAGCAACCUGCCUAUCAGAGGGGGAUAACGUUCUGAAAAGAACGCUAAUACCGCAUAACGUGCGAGGGAGACAUCUCCCUUGUACCAAAGGAGCAAUCCGCUGAUAGAUGGGCUCGCGUCCGAUUAGGUAGUUGGUAGGGUAACGGCCUACCAAGCCGACGAUCGGUAGCCGGACUGAGAGGUUGAACGGCCACAUUGGGACUGAGACACGGCCCAGACUCCUACGGGAGGCAGCAGUGGGGAAUAUUGCACAAUGGGGGAAACCCUGAUGCAGCGACGCCGCGUGAGGGAAGAAGGUUUUCGGAUUGUAAACCUCUGUCCUUGGUGACGAAAAUGACGGUAGCCAAGGAGGAAGCCACGGCUAACUACGUGCCAGCAGCCGCGGUAAUACGUAGGUGGCAAGCGUUGUCCGGAAUUACUGGGUGUAAAGGGAGCGUAGGCGGGAAGAUAAGUUGGACGUCUAAUCUAUCGGCUCAACCGAUAGUCGCGUUCAAAACUGUUUUUCUUGAGUGAAGUAGAGGUAAGCGGAAUUCCUAGUGUAGCGGUGAAAUGCGUAAAUAUUAGGAGGAACACCAGUGGCGAAGGCGGCUUACUGGGCUUUAACUGACGCUGAGGCUCGAAAGCGUGGGUAGCAAACAGGAUUAGAUACCCUGGUAGUCCACGCUGUAAACGAUGAUUACUAGGUGUGGGGGGACUGACCCCUUCCGUGCCGGAGUUAACACAAUAAGUAAUCCACCUGGGGAGUACGACCGCAAGGUUGAAACUCAAAGGAAUUGACGGGGGCCCGCA